CAAGCGUGCGGUUUUCAAACGAGACUCGACGAUCUUGUCUCGUCACGAAGGACUUUAACGAAGACAGUUGUGGUGGCGGCCGUACAUUUGGAACACGGUGAUAGGUAAUAUUAUUGUAAAUCAAGGCUCGGGACUUAAUGCGCUAAAACAACAAUGACAUAUGCGAUAAAAAGGUUAAAUGCACAAUAUAAGUGCAGUACAAAUUUUAUGUUAUGCACGGUUAUAAAUCGAUUUCAAUAUUUUUUAAAAAUGUAGGUAAUAGGUAGGUUUCUAACUUAAUGCGAUAUGGUAAUUUUAACUGGAUUAGAACCUAAAAAAAAAACUGUAUUUUUUUAUAUUUCAAUAGCGAAUUAGGACUGCUUUGUCACAUCAAGUCGUGAUGCCUGUGACGUUUCAAUUUAUUAUUAUGAUAAUAUAAUUUCGGAAA